rnacentral:rRNA from 1 species
UACGUAGGGUGCGAGCGUUAAUCGGAAUUACUGGGCGUAAAGGGCUCGUAGGCGGCCAACUAAGUCAGACGUGAAAUCCCUCGGCUUAACCGGGGAACUGCGUCUGAUACUGGAUGGCUUGAAUCCGGGAGAGGGAUGCGGAAUUCCAGGUGUAGCGGUAGAAAUGCGUAGAUAUGCGGAGGAACACCGAUGGCGAAGGCAAUCCCCUGGACCUGUACUGACGCUCAUGCACGAAAGGCGUGGGGAGCAAACAGG